rnacentral:lncRNA from 1 species
GGCUAUAAUAAUAAAUAAAGAGUAGGGAUAGAAGCAUCAAUUUUGGGCCUUUGAGCCCAUUUUCUGCUGCUGGAAUUUUUGGGCUUUUUGGCCUAUUUUCCUUCAAAAUAUUCUGUGUAUACACUUUAUGUAUAUUCUGGUAUAUAGGCCGUACACGACCCCACUUUGGACCUUUUUUGAAAAUUAUGUCCUGUAUUUUAUGCCGAGUUUUCACAUUUUUUGCACCUGUAUAUCAUAUAUUACGGCUGUAUAUUAAUGUAUACAGCCGGUAUAUCCAUUUGUUUUGAGCCUUUGGAGGCCUGUAAACUUAAUUCCCAGCAGUAUACUUGCUGCUCUCAACCUGUACGUCAAUUUCGAAAAGGCUGGCAGACUCGGGGGUAAGGGUUUGAGACUUUACGGCUCAACAAGAGAAUGCAAAUGGAUGAAGUAGGAUCUGUAGGGACCCAAAAUGAAUUUUUUACAUGCAAUAAAAUAGAAGUGAAUUAGCAUAUGAAAUGAUAAAAUAAAUAAAAUGUAUUUCCAAUGGAACACAAUUUUUUUAAAAAAAGAAAGCUACUUAAGAAAUUCAAAUUGAACCGACACAUAUCACUCUAAACAAAGCCAAAUGAAACCAAACUAAAAUGACCAAAAUUAGUAAACAAACCAACUCUAAAUAGUAGCAUAUUCCUUAAAAAAAUAUUUGGAUUCCAGAGAAUACAUAACCAUCGGCCAAUAAUAGAUUUUAAGUGUUAAGAGGAAACAUGUGGCAUAAUUAUUAAGUAAAAAAAAGGCUCAUGAUAAAAUCCAAAUUUAACUCCAACAAAGGAACCUAAUAUUGUUAGUUUUUCAUGCUAAAGUGCAGAAUGUUAACAUAAGAUAGUAGCAGGCCAAAAUCAAUUUAGAAGAAAACUAUCAUUACAGUCACAGAACCUAACAUGCCAAACAUUAUUACUCCACUUAAUAUGCUUAAGGCACCUAUGGGUAGAAAUAAGUAGAACAUUUAGGAGAUGACAUGGUUCAUUAAUAAUUUAAAUAAAUGGGUGAGCUAAACCAGCCAGUUAUGCUUAUGAUAGAUAUCUCCAAGCUACACGACGAUGGAAACUAGGACCGGAAUGCUUAUUGUUGUUCAAGACGAGAGUACAACUAUGUUAAACCAACAUGAUUCCCAAUCCAAAACUACCUAUCAUCGGUAUAUGAAAACAACCUAAACAAUAUAGAAUAGGAACUUAACUCACAGACAUGACUCAAAAAAAAAUCGAUUAGAUUAACAUUCAAAGAAGCAUGUCCUUAACACUUAGAAAACUAUUCGAGAUGAAGCCUAAUGAACAAAUAAACUGGCUACCAAGCAAGGACGUGGUACACCCAUUUACAAAAUACAACACUUAAGGAUAUUGACAUGGAGUAGUAGAUAACAAACUUGAAGAGAAAAAUAAGAAACAAAGCAUGUUUAAUCUGAAAAAAAACAAAGCUAACACUUCGAAACAGACUCAACAAAACAACAGAGUAAAGGAUCAAAAAGAGCAGUCGAUGCAAGAAAUCAAAACAACAACAAAUAUGAUAUAUAAACUUGAAAUAUUGACGCCUUAGUUCAUUCACUCAACUUGAGUUGAAAGGAUGAAGGGUAUGGCAUCGAAUAUAAAGCAAUACUACAUGUUCACGGCGAUAACAAAAAAAUGUAGUAAAACGAAAUAGAACACUCGAUAACUUGACUAAGAGCCUGUUUGGCUCAGCUUAAAAGCUGGUCAAACCGACUUAAAAGCUGAUUUUUGACUUAUUUAGUUGUUUGCAAUACUCAAAAUAACUUAUUUUAAGUUAAAAAAAACUUAUUUUAAGCCAAAAGUUAAAAGCUGGGUAGGGGUGUUUUUUUUAGCUUAUAAGCUGUUUUAAGUUGACCACAUUUUUAUCUUUUUGCCCUUAAUAUUUUUAUACAAUCUCCAAAUUACCCACGUAACCCUAACAUCUCUUUCUUCCAUUUUUCCUUUUUCACGUUUGGCAUAGCAACUUCAACACUUUUAUCCAAACGAAUAACUGAUUAUUUUAAAAAUAAAUUUCAGAACUUUCAAAAGUACUUUUUUAAAGCUGUUUUUAUUAAGCCCAUCUAAACGGGCCCUUAAAAAAAGAAGCUAGGAACAUAAAUAAACAGUAAAGGAGACGGAACAACAUAGCCAACCUGAAUCAAAGCAAAACUUUACUGAAUUUAGAAUUCAAACUUACUCUUCGAAAACUCAUAGGAAAACACAAAUAUAGAAUGCACACAAUAUGCUACAUUGAAACGAAAUACAGAAGAAAGCGAUGAUACUUUUCUCGGGGCAGCGAAACUUGACAACACUUGAGCUUGGAGUAACACUUCACCACUAACCUUAAAUCGUAGAAGAUCCCAGCAACCAAAUAACAUAAAAAUGUAUGUAUUUAAGGUGUAUUUUCUUGUAUUUCCUAUAUGACUAUUUCAGCCUAGUGGUUUCCCUUAGUAAGUUCUUGCCGACUUUUCCCAACUCUCAAUAUUUUUUCCUCCCCUUUUCUCCCGAAAAUCCUCCAAUUUCCCCCUUCCUUAAGAAUGAUUCAGAGGGCAACAUUUAUAGAAUGAAACUAGGGCAGAGAUUGAGAGGAAAAGAUGAGGGUAGAAUUGGAAUAAACAAGGGCCCAUUUCAAAUUUUAAAAUUCAAAACUCACCACUAAAGGGAAACACCCUUUUUCUGAAGUUUCAACCCAUUCCAAAAGAGGAAACGGCGAAUCGACGACCCAAAUUGGUUCCAUGGUUCUUGACGAGCAACGUGACUCAAUCUUGCGCUGAUAGGGGUGCUUCUGCGAUAGUACGAAUUGAAAGAGACGUUGGGAGGAGAAGACAACAAAGAUGUUGUCUUUGUUGUACGCGUACAGGGCGGGUAAGGGUAAAAGUGGUGGGCUGGUGAUGAAUUGGAAUGGGGAGGGAAAUGGGUUACUGGUUUCUGGAGAAGUAUGGGGUUGCUGAAAAUUAAACUUGGGCCGCUGAAAUUCAAAAGGGACCAAAACUUUGUUCUUUCAAUUGGUUUAGGGGAUUUGGGAUAAUAACUAAAUAAGAUGAAUUAUAAAUUAAUUAAUGAGCUUUUUAAUAUUAACAAAAUAAAAUAAUC